rnacentral:rRNA from 1 species
UACAGAGGUCUCAAGCGUUGUUCGGAUUCAUUGGGCGUAAAGGGUGCGUAGGCGGCGCGGUAAGUCGGGUGUGAAAUCUCGGAGCUUAACUCCGAAACUGCAUUCGAUACUGCCGUGCUUGAGGACUGGAGAGGAGACUGGAAUUUACGGUGUAGCGGUGAAAUGCGUAGAUAUCGUAAGGAACACCAAUGGCGAAGGCAGCUCGCUGGGACGUGACUGACGCUGAGACGCGAAAGCGUGGGGAGCAAACAGG